rnacentral:rRNA from 1 species
GAUGAACGCUGACAGAAUGCUUAACACAUGCAAGUCAACUUGAAUUUGGGUUUUUAACUUAGGUUUGGGUGGCGGACGGGUGAGUAACGCGUAAAGAACUUGCCUCACAGUUAGGGACAACAUUUGGAAACGAAUGCUAAUACCUAAUAUUAUGAUUUUAGGGCAUCCUAGGAUUAUGAAAGCUAUAUGCGCUGUGAGAGAGCUUUGCGUCCCAUUAGCUAGUUGGAGAGGUAACGGCUCACCAAGGCGAUGAUGGGUAGCCGGCCUGAGAGGGUGAUCGGCCACAAGGGGACUGAGACACGGCCCUUACUCCUACGGGAGGCAGCAGUGGGGAAUAUUGGACAAUGGACCAAGAGUCUGAUCCAGCAAUUCUGUGUGCACGAUGAAGUUUUUCGGAAUGUAAAGUGCUUUCAGUUGGGAAGAAAAAAAUGACGGUACCAACAGAAGAAGUGACGGCUAAAUACGUGCCAGCAGCCGCGGUAAUACGUAUGUCACAAGCGUUAUCCGGAUUUAUUGGGCGUAAAGCGCGUCUAGGUGGUUAUAUAAGUCUGAUGUGAAAAUGCAGGGCUCAACUCUGUAUUGCGUUGGAAACUGUGUAACUAGAGUACUGGAGAGGUAAGCGGAACUACAAGUGUAGAGGUGAAAUUCGUAGAUAUUUGUAGGAAUGCCGAUGGGGAAGCCAGCUUACUGGACAGAUACUGACGCUGAAGCGCGAAAGCGUGGGUAGCAAACAGG